rnacentral:lncRNA from 1 species
CGGAGCUGUUCCUAUUCGGCCAUCUUGGCUCCUCCCCCACCCCCGUAUUAUCUUAAAAAUUACAAAAGAUGAUCAAGAGGAGCAUGAAAAAAUCCCCUGAAUCCAUUGGCUUUCUUCCCUAUACUGACAACAGUUUACUUGUGUAAGAGAUGCAUGCCUCGACUCCGGACCCCUUCUUUCAUCUGCAAAAUCAGCAGCACCCUCACAUCAUCUCCUGUAACAAACUCUCUCUGUCUCCUCCAUAUAAGGUCACUGAUGGUUACAUUUAGGGUCCAUGAUAUAAGGCCCUCUCCAGGGUGCCUGAGUUUGUUGUUUCAUCACAGAAUUACACGGAAGAGACUGGAAAGAUAACUCUUCAAAUGUCAAAUCAUUCCCCUAUAAAAAAUUUUGCCACAGCUGUUGAAAUAUGGCCUUAGGGUUUAUGACAGAAUUUGAACCAGCCCCAUGGAAAAUGCAUCUUGACUCUGCUUUUAUUCCUUUCCCUGCUGAGCUCCUAAUAGAAGAUGGAUGUCUAUUGCUUUUCUCUUGAUAUUCAUGGCACUGCUCCUCUCCAUCCAUAGGAUUAUCUUAUAGAUGAGGGUCUCAUCCUUUUGCCCAGGCUGGAGUACAGUGGUGUGUAUGUAGCACACUGCAGCCUUCAACUCCUGAUCCUCCAACCUCAGCCUCCACAGUUGCUGGGAUUACAAGUUCAAGUUGGUGUGUAUCUGCAAAGGCGAUGGAAAGGAGUUCUUACAUAUGCAUAUUCUGAAGAAGGAUGUUACCCUUACUGAAAAACUUAUUCCAAGAUAUGUUUAAUCAAUCAUGAGAAAAAUAAAGAGACAUCCUUAUGAAUGGAGAAUAAAGUCCUCAGGGUUUUUUUCUAAUUCCCCAUGUGAAUGAAGAGCUGUGUUAUUCUAAAUAUAGUGUUUGUCAUAAGGCAAUUGUGUUGGUUUGAGUCCUUAGUCGCUGUGACACUGAUAGAAUUCCUAUCUCCAAUUGGAAGGUAAGUUGACCUUGCCUCACUUUUGGGCAUUUACAAAGUAAAAGUGUCUUCAUAUUCCAG